AGAAGCAGGGCCUAACUACGUGCCAGCAGUCGCGGUUAUUACGUAAGUUGCCAGCGUUGUCCGACUUAUUGGGCGUAAACGCGAGCGCAGCCGGUUUCUAAGUCCUGAUUGUGAAAGCCCCCCGCCUCCAACCGGGGAGGGUCAUUGAAACUCGCGAGACUGAGUGCAGCACGACGAGACGUGGAACUUCCAUGUGUAGCGGUGGAAGUGCGUACGAUAUAUGGAGGAACACCAGUGGCGACGGCGGCUCUCUGGUCUGUAUCUGACGCUGAGGCUCGAAAGCGUGGGAGCAAACAGGAUCAGAUACCUUGGUAGUCCACGCCGUAAACGAUGAGUGCUAAGUGUUGGGAGGGUUUCCGCCCUUCAGUGCUGCAGCUAACGCAUUAAGCACUCCGCCUGGGGAGUACGACCGCAAGGUUGAAACUCAAAGGAAUUGACGGGGGCCCGCACAAGCGGUGGAGCAUGUGGUUUAAUUCGAAGCAACGCGAAGAACCUUACCAGGUCUUGACAUCCUUUGACCACUCUAGAGAUAGAGCUUCCCCUUCGGGGGCAAAGUGACCGGUGGUGCAUGGUUGUCGUCAGCUCGUGUCGUGAGAUGUUGGGUUAAGUCCCGCAACGAGCGCAACCCUUAUUGUUAGUUGCCAUCAUUUAGUUGGGCACUCUAGCAAGACUGCCGGUGACAAACCGGAGGAAGGUGGGGAUGACGUCAAAUCAUCAUGCCCCUUAUGACCUGGGCUACCCACGUGCUACAAUGGGAAGUACAACGAGUUGCGAAGUCGCGAGGCUAAGCUAAUCUCUUAAAGCUUCUCUCAGUUCGGAUUGCAGGCUGCAACUCGCCUGCAUGAAGCCGGAAUCGCUAGUAAUCGCGGAUCAGCACGCCGCGGUGAAUACGUUCCCGGGCCUUGUACACACCGCCCGUCACACCACGAGAGUUUGUAACACCCGAAGUCGGUGAGGUAACCUUUUUGGAGCCAGCCGCCUAUAGCUGCAAACGAUGCCA
rnacentral:rRNA from 1 species